rnacentral:lncRNA from 1 species
GACAGGAUGCAACCCUGCCACCUCUUUCGUUCUUUUGGGCAAAAGGAAUGCUGGCUCUGUUUCCCUUCAUGGAAGUCUAGCUGUCGCAUGGGGCUGGAAUAAAGUCCUGGGGCAACUGACACCAUCUGGCUGAGGGCACUCCUUGGUGUUGCCAGAAGGCCCCUAGACUGGACCCCAUCGCCAACCACCUGCAGGAAGGUGCAGAAACAGGCCCUGGGACCAGAUAGUACUUUGAGAACCUCCUGAAAGUGGCCACCUCAGUCUUUUACAAUACCUCACUGGAAUAGAUUCUUGGAUUUAUUAUACCUGAGUAAAGGCCUGGGAAGCUGAUGGAAUUACCUCCCUCAACCCAGAAGAGCACCCAAAGUACCAACGUGAAGAAACCAGGCUCAAGCUAAAAAUCACAAAAGAGGUCAUCAAACUCCAAAUGGGAAGGCAAUCUGAUCCUUGGACAAUGGCUCCCUCUUCCUGGGAACCCUAAAAUAGAUCUCUGGGAAGAAUCUGACUGUUGUUCACCUCAAAACUACACCCACUGUCGGCAGGAAUUAGCUAAAUCAGUCAUUGUCCAUGUUCUAACAGCAGUUAGAUGUGCCUCUUCAGAGUGGGGAAAUAAUAGGGACAGGAGACAGACAAAUUCUAGACAGAAAAAGGCAGGUCCUUGGCGAAAAACCAACCCUCAAGCAGAAAAGCCUGAAACUGCGGCCCAACGUGACAACUUAUAUCCCUGUUUUCCCACUUGAAUGUUGCCUUUUCCUAAACCACCCAUGGCCGUGGCCCUUCCCAUCCUGUGCCUAUAAAGACCCCAGACUCAGCAGACAGAAAGGAGAAGUAGCUGGACAUCAGAGAGAAGCAGCUUGACUUCAGAGGGACAGCUUGAUGGCAUAAGUUAGGAGAAUAAUCCAGACAGACAUGGCCAGACUUCAAAAAAGAUUAGCUACA